CCCCGGGUACGAGCCUCUCGGUCAGCUACGGCGCAUGGUAAGUACGGCAGGAAGCUGGGACACGGCACCAACGAUUCCGGUAUUGAGGACCUGGAGUUACAUGAUGGGACCCUGAAACCACGCCCACCUCCCAGAGCUGACAAGGACUGGGCAUCUGUGGGCCUGUCAUAUUCAGGUCUGGUCCACUCGGCAACCCUGCCUCCUUACGCCACGGUGGAGAGACAGCGGCCUGAAGGGGGAGACACAGAGCGGCAGGAGACACAGGCUGACAUCGAGUGGCAACUCACAGUGGAGCCACCUGAGCCACCACCCAAAGAGAACGUCAGACACCUGGUGAAACACGCCACAGCAGCUGCCAACCGGAACAGCACAACAGCUGCCAACCGGAACAGCACAACAGCUGCCAACCGAAACAGCACAGCAGCUGAAGACCACAGUGGUGGCAGCGGUGGCUGUGAAAUCGUGUGACCGCCAUCUUACAAAAUGGCGACGAAGGGCAGCGCUAAUAGCUAAACACGUACUGAUGUUAACGGUUUUCAACGAAUCGGUGCGUUUUUGACGUGAAAUGGAAUACAAUUAGAGUUGCAUUUUUAUUUAGCAUUUUUUCUCGUGUGUUUUCCUUUGUUCAAAUUCCUUGUAAUAUAGUUCAUAUUUGCAAUUUUAUGGACGAAUUGAUGUAUGUGAAACCAAAGGUGAAUCUUGUGGCUAAGGCAAGUAAAAGGCAAGUGUUCAAGCAAGGCAGUAGAGAUUCAACUCGAAGGUAGAAAAGUUAAAAGCACGGAAUGAAAAAUGUAAAUAGAUAUAAAUAACAUACAUAUCCAAACGGCAUGAUCAGAAGACAGGAGUAUGAGCAACUUAAAGAUUGAAGCAAACUACUUUCUGCAAAAUAUUGCGCUACGACGUCUGAUCAGAUGUCGACAAAUGUUUGAGAAAACAGCAAAGAAAAGACAACAGCAAGUUUUGUAAAUGUUUGUCUUAGGAUGAUGCAGCACUGAUAUGAUUACUGCUAGGGGAAAUAUCUCUGUUACCACUAUAUCCUUGUUCUUUCGUGAGUUGACAACUAAAUCUAGUACACUACAAGAUCUGGUGGUAUAUAAUCAAGUGUGU